CACGUAGGGGGCAAGCGUUGUCCGGAUUUAUUGGGCGUAAAGAGCUCGUAGGCGGCUUGUCGCGUCGACUGUGAAAUCCCGCGGCUCAACUGCGGGUCUGCAGUCGAUACGGGCAGGCUAGAGUUCGGUAGGGGAGACUGGAAUUCCUGGUGUAGCGGUGAAAUGCGCAGAUAUCAGGAGGAACACCGAUGGCGAAGGCAGAUCUCUGGGCCGUAACUGACGCUGAGGAGCGAAAGCAUGGGGAGCGAACAGG
rnacentral:rRNA from 1 species